CUUCAACGAGCCCAACAGCAGCGGCUCGCCGGCCGGUCGCGACUGCCCGUACGUCGCCAGCAGCGCCUGGGCCUC
rnacentral:antisense_RNA from 1 species